UACGUAGGGUGCAAGCGUUGUCCGGAAUUACUGGGCGUAAAGCGCACGUAGGCGGAUAUUUAAGUCAGGGGUGAAAUCCCAGAGCUCAACUCUGGAACUGCCUUUGAUACUGGGUAUCUGGAGUAUGGAAGAGGUGAGUGGAAUUCCGAGUGUAGAGGUGAAAUUCGUAGAUAUUCGGAGGAACACCAGUGGCGAAGGCGGCUCACUGGUCCAUUACUGACGCUGAGGUGCGAAAGCGUGGGGAGCAAACAGG
rnacentral:rRNA from 1 species